rnacentral:rRNA from 1 species
GACGAACGCUGGCGGCGUGCCUAAUACAUGCAAGUAGAACGCUGAAGGAGGAGCUUGCUUCUCUGGAUGAGUUGCGAACGGGUGAGUAACGCGUAGGUAACCCGCCUGGUAGCGGGGGAUAACUAUUGGAAACGAUAGCUAAUACCGCAUAAUAUUGACUAUUGCAUGAUAGUCAGUUGAAAGGUGCAACUGCACCACUACCAGAUGGACCUGCGUUGUAUUAGCUAGUUGGUGGGGUAACGGCUCACCAAGGCGACGAUACAUAGCCGACCUGAGAGGGUGAUCGGCCACACUGGGACUGAGACACGGCCCAGACUCCUACGGGAGGCAGCAGUAGGGAAUCUUCGGCAAUGGACGGAAGUCUGACCGAGCAACGCCGCGUGAGUGAAGAAGGUUUUCGGAUCGUAAAGCUCUGUUGUAAGAGAAGAACGAGUGUGAGAGUGGAAAGCUCACACUGUGACGGUAUCUUACCAGAAAGGGACGGCUAACUACGUG